AUGCAGGUCUUCGUGAGGACGCUGGAUGGGAAGACCAUCACUCUUUGGGUUGGUAGCUUGGACACCGUCGGCAGUGUCAAGGUGAAGAUGUACGAAAUGAAGUACGACCCUUUCCCUAAACAGCAGCGCCUCAUCUUUCAAGGAAAGCAGCUGGAGGACGGCCGCACAUUGGCGGACUACAGCAUUCAUAGGGAGUGUACCCUUCAUUUGAUGCUCCGCCAGCAUUCAUAG
rnacentral:rRNA from 1 species